GGAAGAACACCUGCCUGGAAUUGCAAGGAAAAGAGUUGCAAAAGCCCCCACGUGUGAUAUGCAUGCCUCUAUUUGUAAUGUAAAGUUUGUUAAUAAGAGCCAGCUGUCUCUUACAGAUCCAAAGAGUUCCUGCUCAGAACACGUUUACUAAAAGACCCUCUCAAAGUGACAACCAACCGGGCAAGUAUCCUCAAGCUGCUUUUUGAUGAGAGAAAAGAAGGAAAAAUGGGUUUAAAGACACAUUUUAUAGAACUCCUGGUGAACAACUUCAAGAAGCUUUUCAAUAAAUUUAAGGUAGUACUCAAUAACGGAAAAAUUUAUUUCUACUUAGAAAUUGCUUUCAAGAGCUCAUGAAAAGGCUAAGCUGUUUUUAUGACCUUUAAAAUUCUUCAUUUUCCCUUCAUUUGGACCAUUUCAUUAAAGCAACUUCUAACCAGGUAAUGAUGCAGAUCUCUUUGCUUAUUCAAAAUAUAUACCAAUUAUCUAUUUUUCAGUUUCAUGUAACAGUGUUUAAAGAUCAUUAUUCCUGGAUCUAAAAAUGAAUGCCUUGAAAUUACUUUUUCAAAAUAAAAUGUUACUCUUACUGUGUGUGUGUGUGUGUGUGUGUGCGUGUGUGUGUGUGUGUGUGUGUUAAAAAGCACUUUAGAUAAAGAGUAACUUUUCUUUAUCUGAAAAGACUUGGGAGGCCAGUAAGGAACUUUAUUAUUCCUGAAAGGAUUAAUCCUGUCCACUUAAGCAGCAUUUUACUUAUUUGGAAGUCACAAAUUUUGGAAAUCUAAUGAUUUCCAACCUAUGCAAACUUUUCAGAAUCUUGUGGCUAUAUUGAGCUAUUGCACAGAGUUGAAUAAGAUCCAAAUGCAAAGCAAAAAUGUAUUGUAGCAAAGUUGUUGCCUUAUAUUUAAAGAUUUCUUGCAAAUCAGUAAUGAAGAAAAUCGUGAUCCCAAGAAAAAAAUAGUGAGCAGAAAAUACAAGUAGGGAAUAGAUUUUAUGUAAUGCCAGUUGUCAGGACAUGGAAUUUUAAAAUGUUCCUUUUCUCAGUAGGAAAGGUUGAAUGAGAUAGUGUUGGAGUACCCACUCAUGGAUAAAAAGGAUUUGGAUUCUAGCUUUGAAACCUAUGGUUAGAUCCUUAAUGCAUUCUGAAUCUCAGUAUCUUUAUUUAUAAAAGGAAAAUAGUAUUAGUUCUUACCUCAUAGAGUUCUGUGAGAAUUAAGAAAGAGAAUGAAUUGGCAGCUAAUAAGGAGAUUGCUUUCUUUAUUAUUUAGUCAAAGAAUUAAAUGAUGCUGUUUGCUGUUUGCAUGAUUUUGAGAAAUAAACAUACCAGAUUAUAUGUAGAAAUCCAAACUGAAUCAUCUUGCCAUAUUGGAAAGAGACUUCGCAAUAUGAAUCAACAAGGGAAGUAAUCCUAUAUGUAUAGCCCAUAAUAAAUAAAAAAAAUCAUAACUAUAUGUGCAGUAUUCUUUGAUACAAAUUUGCUAAUUGUAGCAAAAAAUUAAUUCUAAGAGUAUAAAAUUCAGGGAUAAAUCUCUUACAUGCAUAUAAUGGUCUAUAACAGCCAUUAAAAAUAAUCUGAUGAAUUAAAAAAUAAUAUGGUGGAUUGAUAUAAUUACAUGAAACGAUAUUUAUACCAUAUUAUCCAAUACAACAAAAGACUAAUUCACAUAAAAUAGUCCCAUUUUCUAAGAAGUUUUUAAAUAUAUACAUUUUUAAACAUGAAGAAUAUGUUAUAAAAAUUUUAUGUUAUUUCUAGUGAAAUUUAAGUUGAUACAUUAUUUUCUUACAUUUUCUAACUGUUCAAUAAUCAAUGCAUUUGAUUUAUAUAUUUUUGAAUAGUAUAAGAAGUACAGAUGGAAGACGUAUAUUAUAUAGUUUCUGAUUACAAUCACAGCACACUUAGCCAUAUAAAGCAGUACAUAUAAAUACCUAUAUUCAUAGAUCACAUCAUUCAUUGACAAGAGCAGGUAAAUGAAAACUUUUUGAGCUACUAUUUCUGAAUAAGUCCUUAAGUUCUAUUCUGCUGGCCCUAGUAGGGCAAAACUAUUGCAAAAAAAUGGAGACAUUUUGUUCUUGUUGUUUAAAUCUGAGCUGCUAUCUUAGAUCCACUUUUCUUGUUGUGAAAACAAUCUGGGCAUUUCUUGUAUUUUGAAGUGUGAAAAUAACAUUGGUCAAGUUAGAAAGAGUAAUUUUCCUAAGGUUUUCUAACUUAUUUUUUACUCAAAAAACAUAUCAAUGCUGUUACUCUUUCAUUUAUUGGUCCAAGAAAUAUUUAUGGACUAUCUACUGUGUCCCAGGUAUAGACUUGGAGUGGAAGCCUAUGUGUAAAAGAUGGCUAGCGGGUCGCCUGGGUGGCUCAGCAGUGGAGCAUCUGCCUAC
rnacentral:lncRNA from 1 species